GGAUUUAAACGCUGAUAUCGACAUGCUUUUUGAAGAUUCAAAAGGAGAGUCUUUGCAGAUGAGAUGGACAGUGAGUCCUGGAGGCCCAACUCUCUAAGUAUAUUGACAUAAGGCAGGUAGAGUGAAGGGAGUUCAAAAACAAAUGGGGAAAGAUUAAUUGUCAGACGUGUGAAAAGGCAGCUUGCUGUCACCAAACGUGUACCAUUUGCGGCAGGCAUGAAGGCCACUUGGCACAAUGCCUCCUUGUCUGAAGAAGAGAGAGAACUCCAGACUAUGUCAAGGUACUUCAAUACAUCAAAGGAAGCUUCAUCAAUUGUCUUUAUGCCUGUAGUAGCUGGCCAAUGAGCAAGUGUGUCUUCACCACUAUUUCUUCCAAUAACCUGGAGGUGCCUCAAAACUGUGGGAGAUGCAGGAGGACUUCUCAAAUUUAGAGCCCCCCAAGAGUAUUCUGGUGGGACAAUGCUCUGCCUAGAAAGAAUGGGGGAACAGCUCCAAGCAAGUGGCCAAUCCUUUAAUAUAAUAGCUUCAGAAUAUGAACACAGCACUCGCUUCCCACUUCUCUUGCCGCCAGCAUUUGGGAAGCCCUUUUCAGCAGGAACACAUGCUAUCUUCCCAAAAAUACUGCAAAAUUGGUUACUGUAAAGGACGGCAAAAUUUGAUAUUAUAGCUUUCACAAGGCUUUCUGCCAACAACCAGAUUUCAAACGAUAAUUCAUCCUGUGAGCUGAAUAAAUCUUUCUCAAGAUCAUCAGUAAGUCCUGAAGGUGGCAUGAAAUCUCUUCCAAGCAACUCAACUCUCUUGGCACAUUCAAGGAUAACAUCAGAUUCAACUGAAGUGUGAAGGCCCACCUUCUUCAAAAUGCGUAGCCAUCCUUCGGAGAUAAACCUUUCUCCAGGAAAUUUUAUUCUCAUGCCUGAGAACACUGAUGUUAAUAAAGCAUCACUGGGAUCAAAAAGAUCGGUUGGUUUAAAGAGUUCUGCAGACAUUUCAUCAGCGCACCUAACAAAUUUAGUCUCCUUGAGUACUUCAAUAAUUGAUGAGUCUUCUUGUAGGUCCUGCCAAUUCGAGUAUAGGUAGAUCAAAAUAUCUUCCUGUACAGACUGAGGCUUCUCAUCAAAUCCAGGCAAUCCAAAUUUGAAAAAAAUUUGUUGAUCAUGCAACUCCGGGACCCCAAGGGCUCGAAAAAGAGGUUUCUCGUUAGAAUCAGUAGAGACAGAUAGACAGCGUUCAUCAAAUGGCUUAAGAAAGGUAUUGGAAGGAAUGAUACAAAGCUCAUGACUCUGCAAUCUCGUAUACGUUCCCACAACUGUCUUGUAUAUAGGCAAAUCACGCAGCACUUCAAGCUCCUCUCUUCCAUAGCCAGAGCUAUUUGCAGAAAAAUCAGAAGCAAAGAGGGUAAAAAGCUCAUCACGCUCUGAAUCUGGAAAGGAAGUGAGUUCUGGAAAGUACCCAGCAUUUUUAGCUGCGACAAGCUUCAAUGCUAUAACUUGACCUAACGAUUUCCCCUGACCGGGUAAACAUUUGCAACGACCAGCACAAUCCAAGAAAGAGCUAUCAAAAAUGGGUAUAUUGCACUGGUUCAGCAACGACCUCAACCAAGGGUACUUUCUCUCUGCAACUUUAAAUGAUAAGCUGUAGGAUUGAAU
rnacentral:misc_RNA from 1 species